GGAGCAGUAGUUCAGAGGUAGAACAGGGAUAAAGCUCUAUCCCGAUUUUUACAACCUUGUUUUAGUUGAUUUUGCAAGCUUGUGAAAUCAGCAGCGUUUGAACUCCGCGCUGCGCACCGGUUCGAUUCCGGUCUGCUCCA
rnacentral:tRNA from 1 species